rnacentral:rRNA from 1 species
GAUGAACGCUGGCGGCGUGCCUAAUACAUGCAAGUCGAGCGAACAGACGAUGAGCUUGCUCCUCUGACGUUAGCGGCGGACGGGUGAGUAACACGUGGAUAACCUACCUAUAAGACUGGGAUAACUUCGGGAAACCGGAUCUAAUACCGGAUAAUAUAUUGAACCGCAUGGUUCAAUAGUGAAAGACGGUUUUGCUGUCACUUAUAGAUGGAUCCGCGCCGCAUUAGCUAGUUGGUAAGGUAACGGCUUACCAAGGCGACGAUGCGUAGCCGACCUGAGAGGGUGAUCGGCCACACUGGAACUGAGACACGGUCCAGACUCCUACGGGAGGCAGCAGUAGGGAAUCUUCCGCAAUGGGCGAAAGCCUGACGGAGCAACGCCGCGUGAGUGAUGAAGGUCUUCGGAUCGUAAAACUCUGUUAUUAGGGAAGAACAAAUGUGUAAGUAACUAUGCACGUCUUGACGGUACCUAAUCAGAAAGCCACGGCUAACUACGUG